GGGGAUAUAGCUCAGUUGGGAGAGCGCAUCACUGGCAGUGAUGAGGUCAGGGGUUCAAGCCCCCUUAUCUCCA